CCUCUCGGGGGUAAGCAGGUAGAACUUGAAAGUAUUGAGUAAAGAUUCAAACUUUGAUUUUAUUAGUUGAGUAGAUUUUAUGUUAAGUUGAAUCUUUUUAAGAUUUGACUAAUUUGUUUACUUUAAUCUAAUAAAUGAACGUUUUAUUUCUUUAUCUCAUUCGGGUUGCAUGCAACUGAAAUGAAUUAGUUUUAGGGAAUAAUUACUGUAGGUUCAAAAAUUUAUUUUUGAAUUUAAGUUUUAUUUUACCAACUAAUAUUGCGGUUGUAUUAAUAAAUAAAUAUGAGUUUAUUGACUCGGUCAAUAUAUUAUACUAGUUGUGUAAAAAUAAUAUAUGGACGAGUAAUCGUAAUAUAUUAUUUGUUACUAAUUGUCUGUAUAAUAUAAUUUGGCAAUAUUUAGUAUUGCAAUCUAAAGCAUUCGUGGUCUACCUGU
rnacentral:rRNA from 1 species